rnacentral:rRNA from 1 species
UACGUAGGGUCCGAGCGUUAAUCGGAAUUACUGGGCGUAAAGCGUGCGCAGGCGGUUUUUGUAAGUCAGAUGUGAAAUCCCCCGGGCUUAACCUGGGGAAACUGCGUUUUCUAACUGGCAGGCUUGAGUGUGGCAGAGGGGGGGUGGAAUUCCACGUGUAGCAGUGGAAAAUGCGUAGGAGAUGUGGAGGGAACACCGAUGGCGAAGGCAGCCCCCUGGGCUAACACUGACGCUCAUGCACGAAAGCGUGGGGAGCAAACAGG